rnacentral:rRNA from 1 species
GUGGGGAAUAUUGGGCAAUGGGCGAAAGCCUGACCCAGCAACGCCGCGUGAGGGAAGAAGGCCUUCGGGUUGUGAACUUCUUUUGGAGGGGACGAAUAAAUUGACGGUACCCUCAGAAAAAGCCACGGCUAACUACGUGCCAGCAGCCGCGGUAAUACGUAGGUGGCGAGCGUUACUCGGAAUUACUAGGCGUAAAGCGUAUGUAGGCGGUUGUAUAAGUCUAUGGUGAAAUUUCCUGGCUCAACUGGGAAGGGACAUAGAUACUGUAUGGCUUGAGUGUUGGAGGGGGAGACGGAAUUCCUGGUGUAGCGGUGAAAUGCGUAGAUAUCAGGAGGAACACCGAUGGCGAAAGCAGUCUCCUGGCCAAAUACUGACGCUGAGGUACGAAAGCUAGGGUAGCAAACAGGAUUAGAUACCCUUGUAGUCC